AACGAACGCUGGCGGCAGGCUUAACACAUGCAAGUCGAACGGUCUCUUCGGAGGCAGUGGCAGACGGGUGAGUAACGCGUGGGAAUCUACCCAGUUCUACGGAACAACUGAGGGAAACUUCAGCUAAUACCGUAUACGCCCCAAGGGGGAAAGAUUUAUCGGAAUUGGAUGAGCCCGCGUAAGAUUAGCUAGUUGGUGGGGUAAUGGCCUACCAAGGCGACGAUCUUUAGCUGGUCUGAGAGGAUGAUCAGCCACACUGGGACUGAGACACGGCCCAGACCCCUACGGGAGGCAGCAGUGGGGAAGAUUGGACAAUGGGCGCAAGCCUGAUCCAGCCAUGCCGCGUGAGUGAUGAAGGCCCUAGGGUUGUAAAGCUCUUUCAGUGGGGACGAUAAUGACGGUACCCACAGAAGAAGCCCCGGCUAACUUCGUGCCAGCCGCCGCAGUAA
rnacentral:rRNA from 1 species